GUUGUUGCAGUUAAAAGCUCGUAGUUGAAUUUCGGGAUCAAUAUUUCGGUCAUGCCGUUGGUAUGCACUGUUAUCAUUGAUUUCUCACCUUCUAAAGAACCGUAAUGCCAUUAAUUUGGUGUUACGGGGAAUUAGGACUGUUACCUUGAAAAAAUUAGAGUGUUUAAAGCAGGCUCACGCUUGAAUACAUUAGCAUGGAAUAAUGAAAUAGGACAUCCGAU
rnacentral:rRNA from 1 species